GGCCCAGACUUAUUCAUCCUGAGAGAAGCAAAGAGAGCCGGGAGGAAUCCUUCUAAUGCAGGUGUGUCCAUGUGCGUGAUCACACUUCAUCCUGUCUCCAGACUUGGCGAAUGAAGAGGACCAGGGACAAGUCAGAUUCCCAGGGAGGGCCUCUGUGGAGCAGAACAAGAUCGCUUUGGCCAGACACAAUCAGGAUUGGUUAUGGAAUUAAGCCAGCUCCCAGAACUGGAGGUGAGAUGCUACUGUUGCUGGGGAAAUGUCAUUGUUAGAGAAUAGAAAACUAUUAUUCCAAAGAGGACCGAAGACUGACUGAAUCAGGUCUGGAACAUUAUUGAAAUGG